rnacentral:tRNA from 2 species
GGGGCUGUAGCUCAGCUGGGAGAGCGCUUGCAUGGCAUGCAAGAGGUCGUCGGUUCAAGCCCGAUCUGCUCCA